AAUGAUCGCUCCAAAGUAAAUGGGUGCUGGGAUUCCUGCUGUAUAUAGAAAGUGAAAUAAUUUUAGUGCAGGAGAGAAAAAAAAACCAACUGAGGAUCAACUACGGGUGGAUACAUUUUUGAGGAACUUACCAAGUGUAUGAGUUGCUAAAGCAUGGAAUCCCAAGGCAAAUGAUUUUAGUUGUGGUUUGAUGCACCUAUAAGAAAGAAAUUUGGAGUAAUGUGUUAUACAUUCAGUGAAAUGAGGAUAAAAAAAUCAGCAAUGAUACCUGCAUCACAAAAAUCAACAUUCAAGGUCUGAUUGGGGCGGCACGGUGGCCGACUGGUUAGAGCGACAGCCUCACAGUUCUGAGGACCCGAAUUCAGUUCUGUGAGUGCGAAUGGUUGUUUGUUUCUAUGUGCCCUGCGAUUGGCGGACCCCGCCUCCUGCCCGAAGACAGCUGGGAUUGGCUCCAGCACGCCCGCGACCCUAGUGAGGAGAAGCGGCUCAGAAAAUGGAUGGAUGAAUGGAGUUUAAAUUACAUCUGCCAGCACUACUCAUUCUGAAGGCCUUGGCAUAUUAGAUUGAUAUGGUAGCACAUAAAGGCUGAAACCUGAUUGGACAAAAAAAAAAAAAGAAUCCAGCAUCCACAGGUUAUAAAAUGUAGAGAAUAUUUUGUCUUACUUUCAUUCUAAUAUCAACAUAAAAUACAUAGAUGUAGACAACUGCACUUUGUUUCCCCAAACAUCUCCUGGUUCAAAAGUCUAAUACUCGGUUUGGCAAAAGCACAAAGUGCAGCUGCUCUACAAUAGUGGGUGAGAUAUUAAAUUACUGUUUCGUCAAGCCUUGCACGAAAAAAAAGUUACUUUUACUGAUACUGCAGUUGACAUCAGUUGGUGGUUUCCUAUUGCAGUGGUCAGAUAUUUUCUCAUAUUAAGCAAUUUUGCCCAAGGGACGAAACUGAAUUCAAUGUAAAUUCUGAAAAUAAAAGUUGGUGUUUGGCAUUUCCAUACAAAACACAGUCACAUGUGUGCUUUCUUUGGCUGAUGCAGCGCAUAUAUCUACAGUAGUUCUAGUCAUUAAUGCACUUUUGACACAAAAAGAAAUCAAUUUCCCUCUUAUUCAGGAAAGUCAGUGCUGGUUAAAGUUGAAACUAAUAACCAGUCUGCUUUGAAAUACAAGCUUGUGCUUGCAUUGAAUUGAUAGUGAAGUGAUGAUUGAUUGGACUAGAUUAACAUGGAUGAUAUGUUUCAUAAAAUGUGGGAUGUUUUGCUGUUACAUAAUUUCAAGUAGAUGUUGCUUCUUUGCAAUACAUGCUGUUUAGUAUUGGCCUCCAGCAAAUGGAGCCCUUUGGAUUAAAUUGUCUUUCCUGUUUGCUAAUUCAGUUAUAUUCUCAACAACUCUGCCUGAGUGACGAGUUAAACAGCAAUGUUACAUACAUGCUUACAAGAUUAUCACACCAAUUUGCCGAAAGUGUGCAUUUCUUCUCAUUGUAACAUUAUUUCCUGCCCUUUCUUCUUUGGUGAAUGACAGUGUGGAUAGAGGAAGAUGUCUUCAUGUCGCAAUAAAGGAACAUCAAUGUAUAUACUCUAUCAUUCAAAAAUACCGCUUUAACAAAAAUAGUACAACUCAUUGCAAGGCCUUUGCCAGCUUUCUAUUUUGAGAAUGUUUUGAUUUACUUUGAGUCUGACACCGAAAUAAUGCGCUACACCGUGCUGUAAUCUAUCCCUAGACUCUCUCCUUGCCAAUAUGAACUGAAUAUCAAUCCAUAGUCCGUUUAACAUGGCAAAUUUAGCAGAUACAAAAAAAAAAAAGAAAAGCUGAUGUGCCUCCUUUGAGGUGUUGUGGCACCUCACACUUUGAAAACCUUUGCCUCAAAGCAAAUGUGCUUUGCAUGCAUAACAAUUCAACAAAAUGCUUUGUAAGUGAAAUGCUCUCAGAACAUGAAAUCACGUGCAUCCUGACACAUAAUUAUUGCUAUUGCUAAUUUAUCAGUCACGCUGAUUCCACAUAAUUAUGAAAAGGUGAUGUAUUUUUUUUUAUUCUAAAAAAAACCAGUUAUGCUUUUAUUGUACCUGCUUCGGAUUAACAAGUAAGAAUAUGUUUGAGCGGCUGGCUCUGCCUAACCCUAAGUAUACUGAGGCGUAUACACUACUGGGUAUGUUUACAAUAGAGAAAUUCCUGGCUAUUUUACGUGUUUACACCUUAAAUAAAACACCAGAGAUAAUUCUAGGGACAGCAAAAUAGGAAGACACCCAGUGCUUCAGUUUCUGCUGUGAUAUAGAAGGAUAGUUUAUAUCAGGGAUGGCAAACACACUGAUUGUAAGCAGCAUUCAACUUUUUGGCUGCCCCGGUGUCAGUUGAUUUUUAACUCGGCCUUUAGAGGAGGGGUAUCGAACUCAUUUUUGUUGCAGGCCACAUCGUAGUGAUGGUUUGCCUCAGAGGGCCGUUAUGACUGUGAACCCAUAUAAAUGUAUGAUGACAUAUUAUUACGUAGACACAAAAAAAAUGAUGGCUUACUAGUUUUGAAAUAAGAAAGCAGUCAAAAAAAAAGUUGUUUGUUCAACUGUUAUUGUGUUUAUUUUGAAAGGGGCAUUGGAACAUAAAUGCUUGCAAUAUCUAAACAUUAUUAGAAGUGAAGAAAAGUUGCAAUUUUCGUGUUUUAGCAAGAACCGUGAAGUUGAGGCAUAUGAUUUGGUUCUGCGGGUCACAUAAAAUGAUGUGGCGGGUCGGCUCUUUAGAAGUGUCUAAGGUUUUUUUCACUUUCAAAUAUAUACAGUAUAUACUGUAGCUAUGGAAAAAAACAUAAAGGGCUCUUUCUUUCAUCCAGCGCUGCGUUUGGCAUAUCUCUGCAAGGAGGUGGGCUAAACCCGGAUUUGGUAAUUUUGUGAAGCGGCAUACCACCAACACCUUUAAAAGUCUGCGAUGCUCUGAGCGUGUGCACAACCGACUUCAAUCCUGUCCAAUCAAAGCGGGCUUUCUCGUUCCCUUUCAGAUCGUUUUCAAAUAGUCUUGCAUGAAGAUGUCUUUAUUUACGGAAGAGAACCGUACGUGAAUGGAGCUUUGUCACUGCUCUUGGCCAAUGUGGCAACACGAUACAUGAAUAAAUACAGUACGAGCUCAUGGUGAUAACUGCAGGUGACUUCAAUAUAUCCGUAGACCUCAUAUAUUCAUCACCACUCACAUCAUUCAUGCAAGUAAAUAAUAAUAAUAUAAUUUCAACCUGUCUUUUUCAUUAAUCAGAAAAUAAUAGUGUUUUACUAUUUUUGCCCUUUAAAACUAAGUACAGUUCAGUAUUUAACUUUUCAGUGUAAAACAUUUGCAGUUCAUCUUUAAGAAGUGUUUGGUUUUAAACUUAGGGUAAAUUUUUCUAUAUUGUAUGUUUUUUUAUAUGCAACAAAUUUUAAUUAACUCAUUCAGUACAGUUUAUUUUUUUGAACGUUUUUUCCGAUGUGUAUUUAAGACCAGUGUUGAGAUUCCAACAGCAUAAUGUUACAGAGGCUUACAUUAGUAUUAAACAUGCUUUAUAGGAAUAAAACCUUUAAAACCUGCCUAGUUUUGUGAGUAUUUUAAUGAUUGUCAUGAUGAUGGUACUUGGAGGUCUAUUUUUAUUUUUUUUUAGGUGGUAAAAGGUUGGAGAAGCACCCCUCUACAUUCUGUUAGCCUAUUAUUAUAUAUAUUUUAAUUACUAAUACUAUUAAUUAAGGUCAGAUGUGGCAUAAUCCUGAUGUUGGGUGGCGGACUAAUAUACGGUAGUUUGUUGAGCUGUGUAUAUUCAAUGUUAUUGUAUGGUUUUUAAGUUUUUUUUAAAGUGCUCUAUAAAUAAAAUUGAUUUGAGUUCAGUUAAUCGGUCCAAACAAUGUAUUUAUUGACUAUAGAUUUUUUGUUCAUCAGUCUAUUCCGGUGACAUAUAGUGACAAGCAGAACAAUUAAAUGCUCUUCCACUAGAUGGCAGAAGGUGCAGUUAGUCUCUGUAGCCACCUGUUGCUAGUCAUACAAGAGAAUAAUAGCUUUUUGCGUUUAACUAAAGUUCACGAUGAGUAAGCCAAUUUGUGAGUAAAUGGAGACACUAUCAUAAUUUCAGUACAUAUGCCUGUUGUGACAUUUUUAUUUGGUGAUGUGCCAUGAGAUUUGAAUGAUGUAAAAUGUUUGCCUUUGCUCAAUAAAUGUUUGGGGGAAAAAAACAU